ACUAUUUUGGCAGAUAAGUGCCUCAGAGUUAGAAUCUGAUUAUGUAAGUGUUUACAGAUAGUA
rnacentral:tRNA from 1 species